CCUACGGGUGGCAGCAGUGGGGAAUAUUGCGCAAUGGGCGAAAGCCUGACGCAGCGACGCCGCGUGAGGGAUGAAGGUCUUCGGAUCGUAAACCUCUGUCAGCAGGGAAGAACGGUCACUGUGCUAAUCAGCAGUGAAUUGACGGUACCUGCAAAGGAAGCACCGGCUAACUCCGUGCCAGCAGCCGCGGUAAUACGGAGGGUGCGAGCGUUAAUCGGAAUUACUGGGCGUAAAGCGCUCGUAGGCGGUAUGUCAAGUCAAGGGUGAAAUCCCCGCGCUCAACGUGGGAACUGCCUUUGAAACUGGCAAACUGGAGUGUGUGAGAGGAUAGUGGAAUUCCAGGUGUAGGAGUGAAAUGCGUAGAGAUCUGGAGGAACACCAGUGGCGAAGGCGACUAUCUGGCACAUAACUGACGCUGAGGAGCGAAAGCGUGGGUAGCAAACAGGAUUAGAUACCCCAGUAGUC
rnacentral:rRNA from 1 species